UACGAAGGGGGGCUAGCGUUGCUCGGAAUUACUGGGCGUAAAGCGCACGUAGGCGGAUUGCUAAGUCAGGGGUGAAAUCCUGGAGCUCAACUCCAGAACUGCCUUUGAUACUGGCGAUCUCGAGUCCGGGAGAGGUGAGUGGAACUGCGAGUGUAGAGGUGAAAUUCGUAGAUAUUCGCAAGAACACCAGUGGCGAAGGCGGCUCACUGGCCCGUAACUGACGCUGAGGCACGAAAGCGUGGGGAGCAAACAGG
rnacentral:rRNA from 1 species